rnacentral:rRNA from 1 species
GAUGAACGCUGGCGGCGUGCCUAAUACAUGCAAGUCGAGCGAAGAGACGAGGAGCUUGCUCCUCUGACGUUAGCGGCGUACGUGGCAGUAACACGUGGUGAACCUACCUAUAAGACUGGGAUAACUACGGGAAACUGGUGCUAAUAAUGGAUAAUAUAUUGAACCGCAGGUUUCAAUAGUGAAAGACGGUUUUGCUGUCGCUUACAGAUGGAUCCGCGCCGCAUUAGCUAGUUGGUAAGGUAACGGCUUACCAAGACAACGAUUCGUAGCCGACCUGAGAGAGUGAUCGGCCACACUAGAACUGGAACACGGUCAAGAGUCCUACGGGAGGCAGCAGUAGCGAAUCGUCCGCAAUGGGCGAGAGCCUGACGCAGCAACGCCGCGUGUGUGAUAAAGGUCUUCGGAUCGUAAAAAUGUGUUAUUAGGGAAGAACAUAUGUGUAAGUAACUAUACAGGUCUUGACGGUACCUAAACAGAAAGCCACGGCUAACUACGUG